rnacentral:rRNA from 1 species
GAUGAACGCUGGCGGCGUGCUUAACACAUGCAAGUCGAACGAUGAAGCCCAGCUUGCUGGGUGGAUUAGUGGCGAACGGGUGAGUAACACGUGAGUAACCUGCCCUUAACUCUGGGAUAAGCCUGGGAAACUUGGUCUAAUACCGGAUAGGAGCGCCUACCGCAUGGUGGGUGUUGGAAAGAUUUAUCGGUUUUGGAUGGACUCGCGGCCUAUCAGCUUGUUGGUGAGGUAAUGGCUCACCAAGGCGACGACGGGUAGCCGGCCUGAGAGGGUGACCGGCCACACUGGGACUGAGACACGGCCCAGACUCCUACGGGAGGCAGCAGUGGGGAAUAUUGCACAAUGGGCGAAAGCCUGAUGCAGCGACGCCGCGUGAGGGAUGACGGCCUUCGGGUUGUAAACCUCUUUCAGUAGGGAAGAAGCGAAAGUGACGGUACCUGCAGAAGAAGCACCGGCUAACUACGUG